rnacentral:rRNA from 1 species
CCUACGGGUGGCAGCAGUGAGGAAUAUUGGUCAAUGGGCGCUAGCCUGAACCAGCCAAGUCGCGUGAGGGAUGACUGUCCUAUGGAUUGUAAACCUCUUUUGUCGGGGAGCAAAAGACGUUAUGCAUGGCGCUCCGAGUGUACCCUAAGAAAAAGCAUCGGCUAACUCCGUGCCGGCAGCCGUGGUAAUACGAGGGAUGCGAGCGUUAUCCGGAUUUAUGGGGUUUAAAGGGGGCGCAGGCGGAAGGUCAAUUCAGUGGUAAAAUUGUGAGGCUCAACCUCAUCGAGCAGUGGAAACUGGUUUUCUUGAGUGAGGGAGAAGUAUGCGGAAUGCGUGGUGUAGCGGUGAAAUGCAUAGAUAUCACGCAGAACUCCGAUUGCGAAGGCAGCAUACCGGCGCUCAACUGACGCUGAUGCACGAAAGUGUGGGUAUCGAACAGGAUUAGAUACCCCAGUAGUC